rnacentral:lncRNA from 1 species
UGUUUAUUUUAUUUGUUGCAUCAUCAUGUAGUUUGCAUCAUCGCAUCAUGCAUGGCAUCUUGCAUCGUCUGUCGCGUGUGGUGCUUCGAGUGCUCUCCGAGUCGUAGAGCGAUAGUAGUUCCCCCUCUCUCCCCUCUUUUUUCCUUUUUUGUGGUUUUGCUAAAGAUUUCAUACUUAACCCCCCCCCCUUUUAAAAAUUCGUUUUCUUUUAAAAUGUCCUUUUAUUAAAUGUGGGGCAACCCUUGGGUUUUU